rnacentral:lncRNA from 1 species
UCAUACUCAAAAGUUUAUCUAUGGAGAAUGUAGUAAAAUUUAUUUAUGAUCUUGUGAUAAAUUGAUUAAAUCAUGAGCAGUUAAGAACUUUUGGUGAGAAAUUUGAUAUCCUUAUCUCGAAUUGAGAGAUUAAUUUCGAUGAUCAGAAAUAGUGAUAUUGAUUCUAAUCAACAUUGGUGAUAUUGAUCUUUAUGAAAUGACUUAAUGAUGAAGUUGCAUCGAGAAUUAAAAUAUCAAAAAUUUGAGAAUGAGAUUGAAAUGGUA